ensembl:snRNA U6 U6 spliceosomal RNA
GUGCUUGCUUCGGCAGCACAUAUACUAAAAUUGGAACAAUACAGAAAAGAUUAGCAUGGCCCCUGACUAUGGAUGACCUGCAAAUUCAUGAAGUGUGCCAUAUUUAA